rnacentral:rRNA from 1 species
UACGUAGGGUGCAAGCGUUGUCCGGAAUUAUUGGGCGUAAAGAGCUCGUAGGCGGUCUGUCGCGUCGGCUGUGAAAUCCCGAGGCUCAACCUCGGGUCUGCAGUCGAUACGGGCAAACUAGAGUAUUGCAGGGGAGACUGGAAUUCCCGGUGUAGCGGUGAAAUGCGCAGAUAUCAGGAGGAACACCGGUGGCGAAGGCGGGUCUCUGGGCAAUAACUGACGCUGAGGAGCGAAAGCGUGGGGAGCGAACAGG